UGUUGGAUAGCUCACUCGGUAAAGCAUCGCGCUGUGAAGUAGAAAUGACUAUCAUGUUGCGAGUUCGAUCCCCGCCUCGGACCA